rnacentral:rRNA from 1 species
CUACGUGCCAGCAGCCGCGGUAAUACGGAGGGUGCGAGCGUUAAUCGGAAUAACUGGGCGUAAAGGGCACGCAGGCGGUUAUUUAAGUGAGGUGUGAAAGCCCCGGGCUUAACCUGGGAAUUGCAUUUCAGACUGGGUAACUAGAGUACUUUAGGGAGGGGUAGAAUUCCACGUGUAGCGGUGAAAUGCGUAGAGAUGUGGAGGAAUACCGAAGGCGAAGGCAGCCCCUUGGGAAUGUACUGACGCUCAUGUGCGAAAGCGUGGGGAGCAAACAGGAUUAGAUACCCUGGUAGUCCACGCUGUAAACGCUGUCGAUUUGGGGAUUGGGCUUAAAGCUUGGUGCCCGUAGCUAACGUGAUAAAUCGACCGCCUGGGGAGUACGGCCGCAAGGUUAAAACUCAAAUGAAUUGACGGGGGCCCGCACAAGCGGUGGAGCAUGUGGUUUAAUUCGAUGCAACGCGAAGAACCUUACCUACUCUUGACAUCCAUGGAAUCCAGUAGAGAUACGGGAGUGCUUCGGGA